rnacentral:rRNA from 1 species
GCACAAGCGGUGGAGCAUGUGGAUUAAUUCGAUGCAACGCGAAGAACCUUACCUGGGUUUGACAUGCACAGGACGCCGGUAGAGAUAUCGGUUCCCUUGUGGCCUGUGUGCAGGUGGUGCAUGGCUGUCGUCAGCUCGUGUCGUGAGAUGUUGGGUUAAGUCCCGCAACGAGCGCAACCCUUGUCUCAUGUUGCCAGCGCGUUAUGGCGGGGACUCGUGAGAGACUGCCGGGGUCAACUCGGAGGAAGGUGGGGAUGACGUCAAGUCAUCAUGCCCCUUAUGUCCAGGGCUUCACACAUGCUACAAUGGCCGGUACAAAGGGCUGCGAUGCCGUGAGGCUUAGCGAAUCCUUGAAAGCCGGUCUCAGUUCGGAUCGGGGUCUGCAACUCGACCCCGUGAAGUCGGAGUCGCUAGUAAUCGCAGAUCAGCAACGCUGCGGUGAAUACGUUCCCGGGC